rnacentral:lncRNA from 1 species
AUCCCUGCUGUAUGUUAGUACAUAUUCAGUCUUCAGACCAGUUCACUGACAAACAUGAAGAAAAAAAAAAACGAUGAUUGGUUCCAAAUGCAUGAAGAUUAAUUUCGAUGACCGGAGAACCAUCAGGUCUGUGACUUCCAUUUGAAUAUUGUUUGUACUCUCUGCAUAGCAGGCUGGGGGCUAAGGAAGCCUUGAGCUUUGGAUUGAGAGCUAGACUUGUUCGUGCUAUUAAGAAUGUUAAAGCACCUAACUCAUGGUACACUUUCACAUAAUUUUUCUGAAGUCCUGACAGCUGUCUUCCGAGGUAAGAAUUACUGUCUGAAUAUUUUAGAAGAGGAAACCGGUUUAAAAUCGAUUUACGCAAAGCCUAAGUAUCCCAUCUGCAGAGAGGAAGGCUGGGAUUUACGCUCAAGAGGGGGUGAUCUCUGAAGAGCCGGCCUGCUUAAGCUUCAUGUUCAAAACAGCCAUGCCUUGGCUUGGCUGGGGACAUUUUUGAAUGCAGUGAAAAGAGUCUGGCAAAGUUGCCAUUUGUCAAAUGGCAUGUUAUGUAGCUCAGUGGCCAAACGCUGGCUUUAGCAGCUUGAGGCCCCGCAUUCCAAUCCGAAGCAUCAUUCCCACAGGAGAAGGGACACUAACCUGACAGCUGGCACUGAGGACUCACACUUGCUUGAGUGUCUUCAUAUUGUUUUGUUUUUGGGUUGGUCCUUUCUUUUGGAACAGCUAUCUUUUAGAUCUUCAGUUCUGUUUUUGCACACCAAGAAGAAAUAUUUGUCACAUCCUAAGGGCCAAUUAUUCUGUUUUAACUCUUGUUUCCUGUACUUAGUCCAGAGUGUUUGUUUUUGAGUUUGAUUUUGAAUUGCAGGCAGGAGCAAAUUGAGACCUUAGAUGUGAGUGUUGGUGCUGAGUGCCUUUGAAAAGCAGGCUCCCAGCAUUGGGGAGCACAGGGUAACAGCACACAAUGCAGGUCCCCCCAACAGAUGACCUCUUCAAUUUAGUACUUAACAUUUCCAAGGAUUUUGAAGGACUCUGUCUUCUCAAAAGUCAGGGAGAUUUUUUUAAAGCUCCUGUUGUCAUUAGACUUCAGAGCAAAAAAAAAAAAAAAAAAACUUUGGGCCGUUUUCACGCCCACAUUUUUUAAUCCUAACCUUUGUUUUGAGAUUAGAGACACAAAAGGCAGCCCCAGGGGAUAAACUGGGUGUUUCUGGUUUUUUGCUUUGUUUUUCUUUCCCCAGAAGAGUUACAGUUCAAACUUGUUCCAGGAACUGUCCUUUUCCCAUUGAUAGAUUUUUUUUUUUUUAAAAUGUAAGAUGAAAUCUGCUUAGUGGUGUCUGUCAUUAAAAAAAAAAAAAAAAAAGCUGCAGUAAUGGGAGAACUCGGCAGUUACAGAUCAACUUUCUGGGCCCACAGCCUGUUUCUAUAAAACAUAAAGAGCUC